UGGGGAAUAUUGCACAAUGGGCGCAAGCCUGAUGCAGCGACGCCGCGUGCGGGAUGACGGCCUUCGGGUUGUAAACCGCUUUUGAUCGGGAGCAAGCCUUCGGGUGAGUGUACCUUUCGAAUAAGCACCGG
rnacentral:rRNA from 1 species